CUGGAAAAAACUUGGCAGUAAAUUGGAUAUCUACGUGGAAGGCAAAAGUCGGCAUCUACUUCUCCACUAGGUCCAACAGAAAAAUGUGCGCACUCACAGGGUCUUCAACAUGUUGUGCCUCCCAGCCACAUAAGUCAAACUUCGCCUACGUUCAUGGACAGGCCUCAAGAUGAAGUACAGGACUCUCUUUGGCCGCAAUUUUAGGGAGGUGGUCACUUUGAGACUGAACAACUAGGACGUUGGAUGGAUUCCAGACACUCAUGCUCCCUUGAGAGGCUGAAAGUUGGACUUUAUUUAUGGUGGAGGUUUAUGGUUAAAUAAAGUACGAAAGCCAAUGCUGUAUAUCCAACACAACAGGAGCUACGAGACGUGGGCUUAUUCACAGCCAAUGGAGCGACACUGCCAUCUAGUGGACUGCAUAAGGUACACAGCGUGACAGAUAUAGAAAAACAAUUUAGACGGUUUCUCAAAAAUCAAGGCUCGCUCUGUAGCAGGAGCAACAUUUAAGAGACUACAUAGGUAUACAUUUUAAUGAUAACUGGCCCGAUUCCAUCUUUUUACUUAAUAUAGGCAAAGGUCUGAAAGUGUC